CGCAGGGUGGAGCAGAGGUAGCUCGUCUGGCUCAUAACCAGAAGGUCGUCGGUUCAAGUCCGACUCCUGCAACCA
rnacentral:tRNA from 1 species